AAGCGAAAAGGGGAUGUAAAUAUGACAACAGAACGACUGGUCAAUUGAAUGAAAAUGGCUUCCAAGGACAAACAGUGAAAUGCCUUGAAGUUUAUCCAAAAUGAGGCCAUCGGAGGUGAAGUCUAAAACUGGAUGUGUGAACUCAGGUAACUUUAAGGAUGCCUGCUGACUGAACCCAGACUGACUGUAAAGACAGAAUGAUAAAGCAGGCAGCCCCAUAAGAGAGAGGAGGGAGUGAGCGAGUCUCCACCUAAAGUGAUGGAGUCGUAUGUCAUUAAAACCGAAAAUAACUUUUAUUUAUAUUUUUAAUUUACAUUUUUUUGGAAGUGUACUGCAAUGUUCAUAAUUGUGAUGCAAUUGUAUUGGAAAGCUUGAAUG